AACGAACGCUGGCGGCAGGCUUAACACAUGCAAGUCGAACGCCCCGCAAGGGGAGUGGCAGACGGGUGAGUAACGCGUGGGAAUCUACCCAGAUCUUCGGAACAACUGAGGGAAACUUCAGCUAAUACCGGAUACGCCCUACGGGGGAAAGAUUUAUCGGUUCUGGAUGAGCCCGCGUUGGAUUAGCUAGUGGGUGGGGUAAUGGCCUACCAAGGCGACGAUCCACAGCUGGUCUCAGAGGAUGAUCAGCCAGACUGGGACUGAGACACGGCCCAGACUCCUACGGGAGGCAGCAGUUAGGAAUUUUGGGCAAUGGGCGGAAGCCUGACCCAGCAACGCCGCGUGGGUGACGAAGGCCUUCGGGUUGUAAAGCCCUUUUCUGGGGGAAGAUGAUGACGGUACCCCAGGAAGAAGCACCGGCUAACUACGUGCCAGCCGCCGCCGUAA
rnacentral:rRNA from 1 species